UACGUAGGGAGCGAGCGUUAUCCGGGAUUAUUGGGUGUAAAGGGUGCGUAGACGGGAAAGCAAGUUAGUUGUGAAAUCCCUCGGCUUAACUGAGGAACCGCAACUAAAACUACUUUUCUUGAGUGCAGGAGAGGUAAGUGGAAUUCCUAGUGUAGCGGUGAAAUGCGUAGAUAUUAGGAGGAACACCAGUGGCGAAGGCGACUUACUGGACUGUAACUGACGUUGAGGCACGAAGGUGUGGGGAGCAAACAGG
rnacentral:rRNA from 1 species